GACGAACGCUGGCGGCGUGCUUAACACAUGCAAGUCGAACGGAAAGGCCCUGCUUUUGUGGGGUGCUCGAGUGGCGAACAGGUGAGUAACACGUGAGUAACCUGCCCUUGACUUUGGGAUAACUUCAGGAAACUGGGGCUAAUACCGGAUAGGAGCUCCUGCUGCAUGGUGGGGGUUGGAAAGUUUCGGCGGUUGGGGAUGGACUCGCGGCUUUCAGCUUGUUGGUGGGGUAGUGGCUUACCAAGGCUUUGACGGGUAGCCGGCCUGAGAGGGUGACCGGCCACAUUGGGACUGAGAUACGGCCCAGACUCCUACGGGAGGCAGCAGUGGGGAAUAUUGCACAAUGGGCGGAAGCCUGAUGCAGUAACGCCGCGUGCGGGAUGACGGCCUUCGGGUUGUAAACCUCUUUCGCCUGUGACGAAGCGUGAGUGACGGUAAUGGGUAAAGAAGCACCGGCUAACUACGUG
rnacentral:rRNA from 1 species